rnacentral:rRNA from 1 species
AUGGAGACAUCACCGAGAUAUUGGAAUUGGCGUUGGAAGGGCCCCCAUGGCGGGCAUCGCGCUCAUGAAUUGAACCACGCAAGUGGGGUUGGUUUCUUGUUGCCGUCUGAGGAGGCAGCCAUGACAGGAGAGGACGCCUUCUUUCUCUGCCUGUGUGGCUCUGAGCUUCCAAUGGCUUCAAUAAUUGGGCUCUGCCUGCAUUUUGCUCCUCGUCGUCAGUCCAUGGCACGGCAACAUCAAUCGGGCGUGCUACGAGCAUGCGAUAUCCUCCUGUCUCCUGGCAGUUGUGAUGCUAGCAGAGGGAGGUGGACAGAAGCAACCAGCGAAACCGUGCCGAACUCAGAUUUUUUUUUGCUGUCGGAUCAUGUUGGCUGCACGAGCUGUGCAUACCUCGCGAUAAUCACGAUCGCAAAAUCUCGUCCGUCCAUUCUAAACGAAAUCCUUUCCACCCGGUUGACAGCUAAAGAAAACUGA